GGAGAGGUGUCCGAGUGGCCGAAGGAACGCGACUGGAAAUCGCGUAUACGGGCAACCGUAUCGAGGGUUCGAAUCCCUCCCUCUCCG
rnacentral:tRNA from 1 species